AAAACGACUCUCGGCAACGGAUAUCUAGGCUCUCGCAUCGAUGAAGAACGUAGCGAAAUGCGAUACUUGGUGUGAAUUGCAGAAUCCCGCGAAUCAUCAAGUUUUUGAACGCAAGUUGCGCCCGAAGCCAUUCGGCCGAGGGCACGUCUGCCUGGGUGUCACGC
rnacentral:rRNA from 1 species